AAAUAGCCCCGAUUGAAGGGAAAAUCCUGUUAUUGCGAGCGGUAAAAAUCUUCUUUUCAACGGAUUGCUUCGCUCCGCUCGCAAUGACAGAUUGGAAUGAAAAGCGGGACCAAUG
rnacentral:sRNA from 1 species